rnacentral:rRNA from 1 species
CAAGUCGAACGAGAAAGGGGAGCAAUCCCUGAGUACAGUGGCGUACGGGUGAGUAACACGUGGAUGAUCUACCCCUUAGUUUGGAAUAACCAUGGGAAACCGUGGCUAAUACCGGAUAAGCUCGAGAGAGGAAAGCAGCAAUGCGCUGAGGGAGGAGUCCGCGGCCGAUUAGCUAGUUGGCGGGGUAAAAGCCCACCAAGGCAGAGAUCGGUAGCCGGCCUGAGAGGGCACACGGCCACACUGGCACUGAAACACGGGCCAGACUCCUACGGGAGGCAGCAGUGGGGAAUCUUGCACAAUGGGGGAAACCCUGAUGCAGCGACGCCGCGUGAGCGAUGAAGCCCUUCGGGGUGUAAAGCUCUUUCGGCAGGGAAGAUGGUGACGGUACCUGCAGAAGCAGCUGCGGCUAACUACGUGCCAGCAGCCGCGGUAAUACGUAGGCAGCAAGCGUUGUUCGGAGUUACUGGGCGUAAAGGGUGUGUAGGCGGUUGUUUAAGUUUGGUGUGAAAUCUCCCGGCUCAACUGGGAGGGUGCGCCGAAUACUGAAUGACUAGAGUGCGGGAGAGGAAAGUGGAAUUCCUGGUGUAGCGGUGAAAUGCGUAGAUAUCAGGAGGAACACCGGUGGUGUAGACGGCUUUCUGGACCGUAACUGACGCUGAGACACGAAAGCGUGGGUAGCAAACAGGAUUAGAUACCCUGGUAGUCCACGCCCUAAACGAUGCAUAUUUGGUGUGGGCAGUUCAUUCUGUCCGUGCCGGAGCUAACGCGUUAAAUAUGCCGCCUGGGGAGUACAGUCGCAAGGCUGAAACUCAAAGGAAUUGACGGGGGCCCGCACAAGCGGUGGAGCAUGUGGUUCAAUUCGACGCAACGCGAAGAA